rnacentral:rRNA from 1 species
UACGUAGGGUGCAAGCGUUAUUCGGAAUUACUGGGCGUAAAGCGUGCGCAGGCGGCCAUGCAAGUCAGAUGUGAAAUCCCCGGGCUCAACCUGGGAACUGCAUUUGUGACUGCAUGGCUGGAGUGCGGCAGAGGGGGAUGGAAUUCCGCGUGUAGCAGUGAAAUGCGUAGAUAUGCGGAGGAACACCGAUGGCGAAGGCAAUCCCCUGGGCCUGCACUGACGCUCAUGCACGAAAGCGUGGGGAGCAAACAGG